rnacentral:rRNA from 1 species
ACACAUGCAAGUCGAACGAGAGCGUAGAGAAAGCUUGCUUUUUCUACAAUCUAGUGGCAAACGGGUGAGUAACGCGUAAACAACCUGCCCUACGGAUGGGGACAACAGCUGGAAACGGCUGCUAAUACCGAAUACGUUCCGAAAGUCGCAUGACUAUCGGAAGAAAGGAUGGCCUCUAUUUAUAAGCUAUCGCCGGAGGAGGGGUUUGCGUCUGAUUAGCUAGUUGGAGGGGUAACGGCCCACCAAGGCGACGAUCAGUAGCCGGUCUGAGAGGAUGAACGGCCACAUUGGAACUGAGACACGGUCCAGACUCCUACGGGAGGCAGCAGUGGGGAAUCUUCCGCAAUGGGCGAAAGCCUGACGGAGCAACGCCGCGUGAGUGAAGACGGCCUUCGGGUUGUAAAGCUCUGUUAUACGGGACGAAUAGUCUUGUGGUUAAUACCCAUAAGAAGUGACGGUACCGUAAGAGAAAGCCACGGCUAACUACGUGCCAGCAGCCGCGGUAAUACGUAGGUGGCAAGCGUUGUCCGGAAUUAUUGGGCGUAAAGGGCGCGCAGGCGGCUUCUUAAGUCUGUCUUAAAAGUGCGGGGCUUAACCCCGUGAUGGGAUGGAAACUGGGAAGCUCAGAGUAUCGGAGAGGAAAGCGGAAUUCCUAGUGUAGCGGUGAAAUGCGUAGAUAUUAGGAGGAACACCAGUGGCGAAAGCGGCUUUCUGGACGAAAACUGACGCUGAGGCGCGAAAGCCAGGGGAGCGAACGGGAUUAGAUACCCCGGUAGUCCUGGCCGUAAACGAUGGG